rnacentral:misc_RNA from 1 species
GAUGAAGAACGCAGCGAAAUGCGAUAAGUAAUGCGAAUUGCAGAAUCCGUGAGUCAUCGAAUCUUUGAACUCACAUUGCGCCCUCUGGUAUUCCGGAGGGCAUGCCUGUUCGAGCGUCAUUAUCACCCCUCAAGCCCGGCUUGUUGUUGGAUGCAGCGCUUAUCCCGCUCCUCCCAAAGAUAAUGAUGGCGUCUGCGACGACUCCUGUACACUGAGCUUUCGGGCACGUACACGGCUAGAAGUCCAGACCCGGUCGCCGUCCCCCCCGCGGGGACACCCAUUACCACAAGGUUGACCUCGGAUCAGGUAGGAAUACCCGCUGAACUUAAGCAUAUCAAUAAGCGGAGGA